rnacentral:rRNA from 1 species
GAUGAACGCUGGCGGCGUGCCUAACACAUGCAAGUCGAGCGAACAGAUAAGGAGCUUGCUCCUUUGACGUUAGCGGCGGACGGGUGAUUAACACGUGGUUAACCUACCUAUAAGACUGGGAUACCUACGGGAAACCGGAUCUAAUACCCGAUAACAUUUGGAACCUCAUGGUUCUAAAGUUAAAGAUGGUUUUGCUAUCACUUAUAGAUGGACCCGCGUCGUAUUAGCUAGUUGGUAGGGAAACGGCUUACCAAGGCGACGAUACGUAGCCGACCUGAGAGGGAGAUCGGCCACACUGGAACUGAGACACGGCCCAGACUCCGACGGGGAGCAGCAGUAGGGAAUCUUACGCAAUGGGGGAAAGCCUGACGGAGCAACGCCGCGUGAGUGAUGAAGGGUUUCGGCUCGUAAAGCUCUGUUAUUAGGGAGGAACAAAUGUGUAAGUAACUGUGCACGUCUUGACGGUACCGAAUGAGAAAGCCACGGCUAACUACGUG